GACGAACGCUGGCGGCGUGCCUAACACAUGCAAGUUGAACGGGACCAGGGGCAACUCUGGUUCAGUGGCGGACGGGUGCGUAACACGUGAGGAACAUGCCUAUCGGCGGGGGAUAGCCGGCCCAACGGCCGGGUAAUACCGCGUACGACCUUCAGGUGGCAUCAUCUGGGGGUGAAAGCAGCAAUGCACCGAUAGAGUGCCUCGCGGCCUAUCAGCUAGUUGGGAGGUAAUGGCUCACCAAGGCGACGACGGGUAGCUGGUCUGAGAGGAUGACCAGCCACAUUGGGACUGAGACACGGCCCAGACUCCUACGGGAGGCAGCAGUGGGGAAUAUUGCGCAA
rnacentral:rRNA from 1 species